ensembl:lncRNA
GUAUGGACAGAAGAAACCAUCACAGUGAGCACAUUCAUGGACAUGUCAGCUGCUCACUUUGGCUUUAGGAUUCGUCCUUUCAAAGACGGUUUCUUACAAGUAUUUGUUACUUCCUCAAAAUAACCUGUAAUAUAAAAGUAAAAACUCCACCUGAUACUUUCAGUUAUUAUUUGAAAACACAAACUUGUUGAUCAAGUCAAUGAAUUUUUCUUUGACAGACAAAAACACAUUUUGUUGCUUUUACUGUUACAUGUUGAUGUUUCUUCACUGUGACUCUUCACAGUUCACUCCCACAGUGCAUAUAGAUUUGACAAAAUGACAUCACUUCCUGCAGACAAAUAUAAACCUCUCUGCAGGAUGGAAACCCUGAAGUCACCAAUGCUCAGAUUCUUCACGAUGGAGUCAUUGGAGGAGAUUUUAAAGCUGGAUUCUCCUUUAAUUCUCCAGGAACAUGGAAGAUGUUCUGCAGAGAACAAUGUGAAGGAGAAAAACAUUCUCAUUAAAACAACUGAUGUCAGAGCUCAAACAGGCAGAUACAGCAUUGAAUAUGAAAACAAUGUUUUAUCUGUGAGCAUCUCAAAGCUGACUGAGUCUGACUCUGGACAGUACAGAUGUGGUUUGGGUGGAUCUUCAUCAUCAGCUCCAUUCACACCGUUUGUGAUCGUUGUUGCUGAAGCACUGCUGGAUGGAAACGAUGAUCCUGCUCAGCUGAAACGCUUCAAUAAAGAAACUGGAAGCUCUCUCACAGUCGGAUGUUCCUUUAAACAAGCUGGAAACAGAAAGAUGUUCUGCAGGGGAGAAUGUGGAGGACACAACAUUCUUGUUCAUACAGAGCAUCUCAGUGCUCAGACAGACAGAUACAACAUUGGAUAUGUUUCAGGAGUUCUGUAUGUGAGCAUCACACAGCUGACCAAGUCUGACUCAGGACGGUACAGAUGUUUACUGAGUGGAUCUUCCAGCAGCUCAUCCAGAGAGUUUGAGGUCACUGUCACAGAUGCAGCUGGACCAUCAGCCACAACUACAGGAAGCUCCACACCUUCAUUAACUUGGACUGGAAGCACUGAGCAGCCUGAAGGAGCAUCUACAGGUACAUCCAUCUAUGUGCUGCUGUUUGUGGGCCUGACUCUGGCUCUCAUCAUCAUCCUGUUAUCAGUGUCUGUGCUGAUAUUCUGCAAGAAAAGAUCCUCUAAACCAAAGGAUCCUCCUGUGGAAACGGGGCAGGCUGCUGUCACAGAGGAGGAAGACCACUCGAGCAAACUCACCUACUCUGAGGUGAAUUUUUCCAAGAGGACUUUUGGCUCUCCCAACGGCGCCUCCAGUGGUAACACCGGUGAAGUUAUCUACUCUGCGCCUCGGGUCCAUGUCAGCUCUGAUGUCAGAGAUGAUUCGCUGUACUCGACUGUAGCUUAGCUUCAAUGCUGCUGCUGCCACGUUUCUCUGUGAAGGAACCAAAGGAAGCUUUCAGUGACUGUAAAUAAUCUGAUUUACACCAAAAUCUGUUUGAACAGGACCAUCACAGCGUCUGAUUGGUCAGAUGCUGUGAUGUCAUAGCUUUGUAAAUUAUGGUCACCGAGUUAUUUUGGUGUUUUAAUGCUGAGCACAGGUCCAAUCAGUGAUCCUGUGGCAGUAAAGUGACUCAGUGAAGAUGCAGGGAAAUCUGUCAGACAGCUGAUCUGCACAGUCCUUAAGUUUACUGAAAAUAUUUUCUGGAUCGGAGCUUUUCCUCUCCUUCAGUCACCCGAGGAGUUAAAAAACUUUGUUCCUUUCAUGUAUCAUACACACCCAGUUCUUUGCUAAAUCUAAAGUAUUGAAAUAAUUCUUUAAAAAAAGAAAAACUUCUUGUCUUUCGCAACUUCAGAGUCACACGAGUGAAGAAAAUGGGGAAGUUUUCCGACUGCAUGCUCAGCUUGGUGUCACUUUAGCAAGAUUAAGUUCCUUGAUUAGCUUCUGCAAAGUGUCAGGCCACUGUUUAAAACUGAUGCUGUACAAUGUUUAACAGGACAAUGUUUUAUUGAAAUAAACUUUCAUAGUGUAGAAAAUCUUUAGCUUAUUAAAUCAAUCAGUGGUGGAAGUGAGCACCAAGCAAAGCUGCAGUAGCUCCAACAAGCAGUGAUCAGCUGCAUCGGCUGAUCGGUGCUUGUUGGCUGUACCUGGAUCAGCUCUGCAUCUCUCCAAGUUAUUGAACUCACUUCCACUGGACCUAAGAUCUGUGACACUGUUAACACCUUUGGGGGUAAAUGAGGACCUGCCUGUGCGUGCUAUCUGCUUACCUUGGUUGAAUUAUCUUACUCUGUGCUGUAAAGCACUUUGUGACUUUUGUUCAUGUAAAGCGCUGUAUUAAUCAAUCUUAAUUACAUUAAUGAGAGCAACCACACCGACUCUACAGACACUGAAUUUAAUACCAAAAAAACUGCUUUAAAUUCUGAAUUUUAAUGUCAUGUUUUAAAGUCUCAGCACUGACUUGUUAGCAGAGAUAUUUUCUCUUUGUUCAAGGUGAGAAUAAAACUUUUUCUAUUUGAUAUAAGCACAGAAAA